UAAUAGAAGUUCAUUGUUUUAACUCUCUCCCUCCCUCCCCUCUCGAUCUCUCUCCAUUUAUUUAUUCUAGUGUAUAUAGUUAUACAUAUAUACACAUAUAAUAUAAUAUUAUUAUAUAUUUGUGUUAUGUUUUAUAACAUAUUAUCAGCAUGAUGUUUUUACUGUUGGAGCUUUUAUGAGGUAAGUAAGUUUAUAUUGUUUCGAUUAUAUUUAUAGAACAUAAAUAUUAUAGAUAUCAUGAAAUUACGCCUUUUUCCGGAUUGAUCGUCAUAAACUGUAGGCAUUGCCUCCUUUAUGAUCAAAUCUAUAGCUAAAUUAUAUCCGAAUAUAUCGUUAGAUAUAUGGUAGGCUUUGCCUCCUUCACGAUCAAAUAAAAGCUAUUUCUUUUCCGGAUAAAUAGAUCGUUAAAUAUGGUAGGUUUUGCCUCUUUUUCGAUUAUACAUAAAGCUAUAUAAUUUUUGGAUGGAUCAUUUUAUAUGAUAGGCUUUGCCUCCUUAUAGAUCUAACAAAAGACUAUGUCUUUUCCAGAAAAAUCGUUAAAAAUGGCAGGUUAUGCCUCCUAUAUUAUCAAAUAUAAAGACUAUGUCAUUUUCUGGAUUCAUCGUUAUAAGUGGUAGGUUUUACCUCCUUUUCGAUCAAAUAUAUAGUUAUGUUAUAUCCAAAUUGGUCGUUUGAUAUAUGGUAGGCUCUGCCUCCUUCACGAUCAAAUAAAAGUUAUGUCUUUUUCGGGUAGAUAGAUCGUUAUAUAUGGUAGGCUUUACCUCCUUUACGAUCAUAUAUAAAGCUAUAUAAUAUUUGGAUUGAUCAUUUGAUAUGGUAGGCUUCGCCCCUCCAUCACGAUCUAACAAAAGGCUAUGUCCUUUCCAAAAGAUCGGUUUUACCUUUUAUGUGAUCAAAUAAAAGGUUUUGUCUUUUCCGGAUUGAUCAUUAUACAUAUAGAAUUUCUACCUCAUUCAUGAUCAAAUAAAAAACUUUGUUUUUUCCGGAUUGAUCGUUAUAUAUGAUAGGCUCUCCCUAUUCUAAGAUCAAAGAAAAGCUAUGUCUAUUGAGUUCUUAUAUAUAAGGCUAUAACUCUUAUUUUAUUUUCUGAAUUUAUAUGUUUGUUUAUUUAAUUCCGUUUAUUAGUAAAGAAUAACUAUAUGUGUUAUAUGAGAUUUAAAGACAAUGAAAUGUCUUUAAAAUCAAAAAUAUAUUUCUCUUAUGAGAAUAUAUGAAGCACAUGUCAGUAUAUCCUAGACAGUGCAAACAUAAUUGAAAGGUCUAGAUGAGUUAGUCUCUCGACUUCCAAAGACAUCAUAUUCAUAAUUAUCGAUGUCUAGUGUUCUCCAAAGUCUCAAAGAAACUCAUGGAGUUUUAAAGACUUUUUUUUUCUUAAUGAAAUUAUUAUGUUGAGACUAUAAAUAAAUAUGGUAUCGCAAGAUCGGCCAUAUUGGAGACACACAUGUAUAUGAUUAUAUCAUACAAAAAGAAAGAUGGCAAAAUAAUAGUAAAAAUGAAAUUCUUUUAUGCUUUAAGUAUAACAUUACCGGUUAAGCCAUCCCGGUCAAUCAAUGAUAUUAAAAAUCAUUGAGAAUUUGUUCAGAGGAACAAAAGUUUUUUCAAAAGUACUGCAUGUCCCAGUUCACAUUUCAUGAAGUUGUAAUCACUGCACUUCAUUCAUAUUUCAGUAGUCUAUGCCUCCAGAAUCAUAUAGUGUUGGCCCACUCACCAUCUUUUGGAUUAACAAGCUCAUUGUAUAUAUAUGAUGGUUUGAUUUCUUUAAUAAAUCCCCAAAUUAAACCCCAAAUAUCACCGAUGUAAAAAUAAGAUUCGGUUAAAGGUGAAUGGAUAUAAAAUUCAUCAUCUUGAGAGGGGUAAUUCUCAUCUCACAUAUUAUAAGGAUCUAAGAUAAUAGACAUAACCAGAAUCGGUAUGUUGUUGAUCCAUGUAUGGGAUUCAGUACGAGAUGAAUCAACUCCAAGAGUUAUCAUCUCGAGGGGGAGAAUUAAAAUUCCACAUCGACAAUAAGUCGAUAAACUUUGGUGAAUUUGACACCCCAUAGCGAUAUAACUUUGGUGAAGUCAUAUCCUUUAGUUUAUCACAUAUAUAUGUCGCAUGUGAUAAAGUAGAACAUCCAUGAUGUUCACUCUUGAAAUGAGCUAUAUAAUCAUUCAUAGCGCAACCACAAGAUAUUACAAAACGGUUCCUGGUUUUUUAAUCUCCAUGUCAAAACAUGGAACAUGGAGUUUUGCAUGUAGUCAAUAUUAUAUAUGACGCCAACAUUUUAUAAAGAAAUAUUACUCCCAUGUUAUAUAUUCACGGUUGAAGAUCAAAUAUUUCUCAUUUUGAAUCUUAUGGGUGUGUGAUAUAUAUUUUAAAAUGCUCCUCCACACCGCAUAAAAAUAUCAUCCACAGAGGAUGAAAUAUAUAGAUGUGGGAGAUGACUCUCCGCUCUAAUAAUGUUAAAGCCAUCUUAUGAGAGAUGUGCUUAUUGCAAGAUUUGCAUAUCAUCAUGUUGGAUGAUAAAGAUCCCAUCACUAUGGGGAAAUCAUAAAAUAGUUUGGAUCUUUGAACAAACGAAUAUAAUGAAUAUGAACUUGAUUGUUCAAAAGUUCAAAAGACCACUAUUCAAAAUGUUUACUGCAAAUCAAAUGCAAAAAGCUGAUGGUUGAGAUUUCAUAUUGAUCCUCGCUUAAAUGAAUAUGAACUUGUAGUUCUAAGAAAUCUCACAUCCCAGCUAGAAAUGCUCCAAUAAAAUAUGUCUCUGACGGAUGACAUACUAAGUCUAUGACACACAAGAAACGUGAUAGACUACUUUGGUUCCUAAGAUAAAUAAAAUCCUCGAAAAGAAAAAGGAGCAAAUAAAAAAGAGGUUUAUACUCUCAAAAGAGGAGCAAAUGAACUCCUAAAGAGGAGUAGAUAGACUCUUAAAGAAGAGCUAAUAGACUCCCUGAGAGGAGCACAUAGACUCCUAAAAAGGAGCAAGAUACUUCUCAAGAGGAGUAGAGAAACCGGUUGAUAUGGUUAACGAAAUCAGGUACCUGUAUAAAAUCAUUUAUAUAAUGAUUAAAGAGAUCUUGAUUAACCAUGUCAUUACGGGAAAUAUGGAACCAAAGACAUAAUGUCGACAAUAAAAAUAUUAUAUCGCGCAAUGUGAUUAAUGAGGAUCAUAAAUCUCUGCUCUGUGAGCGUACAGAGAUAUAUAUUGGCCAAUAAAGAGGUAAUCAAGUCUAUAUUAAACUCGUAUGAAAGACGGGUAAUUUUUAGACUAGUGGUCCAAGCAUCAAAAGGGUAUAAUGAUAUAACGAAAUGGUGUGUCGUGCCAUGUUUUGUUAAAAUACCUUAUCAAACAAAAUGGAUGUUAUAUGAAUGACUUGAAAUAUGCCUCAUGGAUGCUUGAAGAGCUUACCCCGAAAUAUAUAUGAUAUCAUAAUUAUGGUCUCGAGAACUCAUACCAGUGAUGAUUUUGAACAUCAUCAAAACUCUUGAAGAGUUAUAUGGAAUGAAAGAUCUUGGAAAGACAAAUAUGUCUCUAGAUAUUCCAAACUAAACAUCUUUCGAAAUAGAUUCGAUAGAUGUUAUACUAAUCACUUUAAAGGAAGUCAAAUAUAGAUAUAUAUAGAUAUAUAUAUAAUCAUGUAAGAUCAUAUAGAAAUGCUGACGAGCAUUUAUAUAUUUUAUGAAUUAUACAUAGCAUUUUCUACUAAUCUUUUUGCAGCAUAUAACUCAUUCUCUAUGAGUAGAUUUUGAGUAUGAGUUAAAACAUAUCUUCUAUUGCAAAGGUGUGAUUAACUUGGGCUUAAUAUAUUUUGGAACCCCCAAGUUUGGUUUAGUUGGUUUUACAGAUGGAAGAUUUAUAUCGGAUCAGUACAAAGAUAAAUCGCAAAACAACAACUUCGCGACGUUUCAGUGAUAGACUUUUUGGCUGUCGCUUAUUCAAGUCAUGCCAAAAUAGUUGUUCUUCAUAUGCCAUAUCGAGAAUCCCUAAUGGCUCAGAUGAUGUCCGAACAUCAACCAAUAGUUACCCGCCUAAGCCUGAAGCCUCGUAACAUGUUUACAAAGAACUUCGAACUGAGGGUUCGAUCAACAUCAACUAGUUAAUGUUUGUUGAGACCCAUUAGCAAGAUGCAACUAAAGUAGUCACCAAGGGCAACACCACUGUUUGAAGACUCUGUUGCAUAUGUCGCCCAAAUUCAAAGGAAGCUACACCAAGAGCGACAAAACAAGACAUAUUCCUCUCUUACCUUUGAGAAGAAUAAAGAAGUUGAUAGUUAGUCCAUCAACUCAAGUAACAAUGUAGCAGAGUUACUUAUAAAGGGGGAGAAUAUGAUGAUCCACGUGGCUGCACUCUUUUUCCCUUAUCAUGGUUUUUAUCCCACUGGGUUUUUCCAUGAAAGUUUUUUAACGAGGCAGCAAAUAACACGCAGAAUAUCGAUCUCAAAGAAGAAUGUCAAUGGUGAAGGUCUAUCUCUCUUCAGAAGAAUGAAGAGAAUGAUCGAUAUGGAUCAUCUACGAAGAUAUGAAGAAAAGAAUGAUCGAUAUGACUCAUCUACGAAACCUAUGAAGAGAAAAAGACUCGUCUAUUUCAGGGGGAGAUUGUGUCACUAUACUCUUUUUCCCUUAUCAUGGUUUUUAUCCUAUAUGAUUUUUCUAUGAUAAAGUUUUUAACGAGGCAGUACACAAUAAAUGGUGAUGAAUAAUCAAGGGAGAGUGUUAUAAACGAGAUAAUAACACUUGUGAUUAUCCAUCACAUUACUUCUACUCUAAGUAACUUUAAUCUUAUCCAUAUGUUUAUCACUUACUUACUUCCCAAGUAAUUAAAGUUUAUCUUCUUAUCCCAUGUAUGACUUAUCCAUUAGUAAUCCCUAUAUAUAUGUGUUUGUUGGUUUAUUGUAAUAAAGAACAAAAAAGUUGGAGAGUGAAGUAAUAGAAGUUCAUUGUUUUAA